AGUGAACGCUGGCGGCAGGCCUAACACAUGCAAGUCGAACGAGUGGCGGACGGGUGAGUAAUGUCUGGGAAACUGCCUGAUGGAGGGGGAUAACUACUGGAAACGGUCGCUAAUACCGCAUACCAUCGGAUGUGCCCAGCUGGGAUUAGCUGGUUGGUGGGGUAACGGCUCACCAAGGCGACGAUCCGUAACUGGUCUGAGAGGAUGAGCAGUCACACUGGAACUGCGACACGGUCCAGACUCCUACGGGAGGCAGCAGUGGGGAAUAGUGGACAAUGGGCGAAAGCCUGAUCCAGCCAUGCCGCGUGUGUGAAGAAGGUCUUCGGAUUGUAAAGCACUUUAAGUUGGGAGGCGUUAUCAACAGAAUAAGCACCGGCUAACUUCGAGCCAGCCGCCGCGGUAAUAC
rnacentral:rRNA from 1 species